UACAGAGGGUGCGAGCGUUGUCCGGAAUCACUGGGCGUAAAGGGCGCGUAGGUGGCCUGGUAAGUAGGGGGUGAAAUCUCGCGGCUCAACUGCGAGGCUGCCUCCUAAACUGUCAGGCUCGAGCAGAGUAGAGGCAGGUGGAAUUCCCGGUGUAGCGGUGGAAUGCGUAGAGAUCGGGAAGAACACCGGUGGCGAAGGCGGCCUGCUGGGCAGUAGCUGACACUGAGGCGCGACAGCGUGGGGAGCAAACAGG
rnacentral:rRNA from 1 species